rnacentral:lncRNA from 1 species
ACGGCUUACACGAGGGUAAGCAAUAGCCAUUAGUGAAAGAAAAAGAAAACUAAACAUUCACUUGUACUAUGAUUCAUUUUUGAUCAUAUACAUUGCAUUCAUCUUGUUCAUUUUCAAAUUCCUUACAUUUCAUUUCAUCAUUUCUUUCUUACAUCACAUUUACCUCAAAAUACACAUUACAUUCUUUUCUUUACAUCAUUUACCAUCAUGUACA